CUUGUGGUACCAGCGGGCAUUCUAAGAACUUUACAAGGAUGAGUUCUCUUGGCAUGAGCUGUCACAGUGACUUCAAGUGUAAACUUUGAAGCUAGAAGGAUUUGAAUUUUAAACCCUGGUUCUACUUCUCCUGUGAACUGUGUGACAGAGGCCAGGAGACUGGGCCUGACCCUCACUUUGUCCCUUUCAGUGGAGGCUUGAGGACAAUUUACAGAGUGACAAGAAGUGCAAGAAGUCUCAGAUGAGGCUAGAUGGUGCCAUCGGUUUAGUCCUGCAGGAUUCCGGCUGCUGAGCAUGGUUCAAGGCCCACAGAGGAGGGACUCGGUGGGUACCAACUCCGGAAGGUUCUCAGUCACUACCAGCUUCCUGUCAAUUGAAAGGAGCUGCCUUUAGCAAUGUUUCCUACCCACAAGACUGUGCUUUAUCCUAUGACCCCUGACCCCUUCACCACAAUUUCCUGGACCAGGACUUACUGAAGAAUUGCUGGGCUGCUUGCCGCCAAGCCCAGUUUCUGAAAGAGAAGAGUCAUGCUGGCUGGCGGCUCUACAUCAGCUCCACAGGACAUGGAUUCUGGGGGAAGGCAUCGCUUGACCAACAGAAACUCUCAGGACAGGAUCCCCAGGGACAAGAAUUCCUCAUCCAUCUGUUGCUCCUUUAAGGCUCCCAUGUGUGAACAGGUUCUUUCCGGCUGGUACCGAGCUUUCAGGAGGCUGUGGGACCUUUAAGGCUCCAGUUGGAAGAGGGCCAGGAGGGAAGGAUGAACCAGACAUGACCCUACCCAUCAGGCAGCUCAGCGUUGGGGACACCCACAGCGUAAUCAUCACUCAAGCAGCAGCAACAGCAGCCGGAGACCACAGCAGGCAGCUACACAGUGGGCAGCACGGUUCUGGAUGUCCGUGCCAGUUGACGGAGGCCCUUGGUGCCUUACAUAGCAGAUGUCCCCACGACACUGGCUCCUGCUGCCCAUUAGAGACUGUGAGUCCUGGUCCUUGUGUCUGGCUGUGGCCUGAUGCCAGUGCCUCCCCAUGCCUUAUGAGUAUGAUGGCCCUGUCUCGGCCACAGCCAUAGAAAUGGUAAGGUGUGUCUGCCUCCACAUGCUCCUCCCCGUGCUGAUGUGGACACUGUGGCAUCAUCUUCAUCUGCCUCCCACUCCACACAUCUAGAGAAAGCCCUUGGGGACCUGUUACAACAAUGCAACCCUUACUGUGAAACGCUGGGGGAAGGGAAUUGGAGCGCUGCGAUGCAGGUGGACAUGUAACAGAGUGUCUGAAGUAUGCAACAGUGUGUCUGCAGUGUGUGACAGUGUGUCCGCAGUGUGACUUGGUGACCUAAACUUCAGAGCCCCAUGUCCUUAGAGAACAUCAACACUGUGGCUCCAGGACUCAAGAUAGGCUCAAGUCUGGGGUGCAGGGAACCCCUUCCUGUACAUUGCAGAGGCAAAGCUGCUUCAGUUGGGGCUGAUGGGACAGGGAAUGGUCUCUCUUUUUCAGAUCAGGACUCCUGGAUUCUAGUGCAGGGAGUGAACUCCGGGUGGGGACCUGAGAGCUACAGGACUCAAGGAACCUGGGUCUCUGGGCCACAUCAAGGAGAAGAGAGUUGCCUAGCAACCUAAGGCAAUGCUGUUAGCUCAGGUCCCAAGCAGUUAGCAGAACAGUGGGAAAGAAAUUAUGAGAAUGUUAACUUAACUAAACUCCGCCAGUUCCCAAUGGUACGCUCAGCCCUGCAGCAAGCACUCAGGCAUAGCUCAGGAUUCCAAGUGGGUUAGUGUGACACAUUCAUGAUCUCAGGGGGAAAACGAGGACAUCGCAGUAAUAUUUCCCAAGGCAUGCAAUUAUUUGAAAAAGCCCCAAACAGUCCAGACUAAUGAGUCUAACUUGCCAUGUGAAGUCUGGAAAUCUAAUUUUUGAUGGUGUGGUUGUUUCAAAUCCAACAGGGAAGGAGCGGAAAUCUUGAUUCUGCGAGUGUUGAAGGCUCAAUUCUUUUCGCACGCAGUCUUGUUAAGCUGAGAGCCAGCGUGAUCUAGACUCUGCACUUGGAAGAGCACUUCAGUGAGUCUGUAAG